UACAGAGGUCUCAACCGUUGUUCGGAAUCACUGGGCGUAAGGGGUGCGUAGGCGGAUCUUUAAGUCAGGGGUGAAAUCCUGGAGCUCAACUCCAGAACUGCCUUUGAUACUGAGGAUCUCGAGUUCGGGAGAGGUGAGUGGAACUGCGAGUGUAGAGGUGAAAUUCGUAGAUAUUCGCAAGAACACCGGUGGCGAAGGCGGGAUCCUGGGCCAGUACUGACGCUGAGGAGCGGAAGCGUGGGGAGCAAACAGG
rnacentral:rRNA from 1 species